rnacentral:tRNA from 5 species
GCGGGAGUAGUUCAGCGGUAGAACACCACCUUGCCAAGGUGGGGGUCGCGGGUUCGAAUCCCGUCUCCCGCUCCA